AGGAAAUUAGUCCCAAAAUAAGACCUCUGAUUUCGGCUCAGAAAACUGCAGUUUAAAUCCGCAACUUCCUU
rnacentral:tRNA from 1 species